rnacentral:rRNA from 1 species
GAUGAACGCUGGCGGCAUGCCUAAAACAUGCAAGUCGAGCGGCAGCACGGUCUUCGGACUGGUGGCGAGCGGCGGACGGCUGAGUAACACGUAGGAACAUACCCCGAAGUGAGGGAUAAAUGCUCGAAGGAGUAGCUAAUACCGCAUGUGAACUAAGGAUUAAAGCUUUAUGCGCUUUGGGAAUGGCCUGCGUAUGAUUAGUUUGUUGGUGAGGUAAUGGCUCACCAAGACUACGAUCAGUAGCUGGUCUGAGAGGAUGAUCAGCCAGACUGGGACUGAGACACGGCCCAGACUCCUACGGGAGGCAGCAGUUAGGAAUUUUCCACAAUGGGCGAAAGCCUGAUGGAGCAACGCCGCGUGCAGGAUGAAUGCCUUCGGGUUGUAAACUGCUUUUAUAUGUGACGAAUAUGACGGUAGCAUAUGAAUAAGGAUCGGCUAACUCCGUGCCAGCCGCCGCAGUAA